GAAAUCGAGGGGGGAGCUAGUUUUCAAGCUUCUGCAAGGUUACCAGUUCGGUUUUCAUUGGAGGUUUUUUGAAGAUCAGGGGAAUUAGAGAGAGGAGCUUCAUGCUUCGGGUCGGGGAAGGAAAGACAUAGAAUUUGGAUUUUUCUUCUUCGUAGAGUUUUGGGAAGACUGAGGCAAUCGCUGCUGAAGUCAAUGUUGUAAUGGUGAAUCGGGAUUUUUAAAUGAAGUGGGUUUGAAUACUCUUGACUGUUUUGUAAAAUCGAGUUACGUCUGUGAUUG
rnacentral:lncRNA from 1 species